AACGAACGCUGGCGGCAUGCCUAACACAUGCAAGUCGAACGAGACCUUCGGGUCUAGUGGCGCACGGGUGCGUAACGCGUGGGAACCUGCCCUUAGGUUCGGAAUAACUCCCCGAAAGGGGUGCUAAUACCGGAUAAUGUCUUCGGACCAAAGAUUUAUCGCCUUUGGAUGGGCCCGCGUUGGAUUAGCUAGUUGGUAGGGUAAAAGCCUACCAAGGCGACGAUCCAUAGCUGGUCUGAGAGGAUGAUCAGCCACACUGGGACUGAGACACGGCCCAGACUCCUACGGGAGGCAGCGGCGGGGAAUAUUGGACAAUGGGCGAAAGCCUGAUCCAGCAAUGCCGCGUGAGUGAUGAAGGCCUUAGGGUUGUAAAGCUCUUUUACCCGGGAUGAUAAUGACAGUACCGGGAGAAUAAGCUCCGGCUAACUCCGUG
rnacentral:rRNA from 1 species